GGGGGCGAUCCGCUCUCGACUUCCUGGAAGCACGGGGGGUCGAUCCGCUCUCGACUUCCCGGAGGGUCGAUCUGGACGCCUAAAGCUUCGUCUCUCUGGACUGACACGCUUCAUGACCGACUGCGUUGGUGAAAUACUGGCUGGUGAUGUGACGGGUUUCUGUGUUCUGAUUGGACAGCGUUGCCUCGUUUUAUUUAUUUAGAGGAGAGACUUGUUUAUGAUCAGACAGUUUACAGUUUCAGUUUAAAUCACAGACACAGAAACAAGCAGCUGUUUUUAUUAAAACACUCAAAGUUCAAAAUCUAAAAAUGAAACCAUCUUUGUUUUAUAAUUUAUUUCACUAAUUUGAAUUUAUUGAAAUUUGAAAAUUUUCUUUUUAGCAAUGGUGACUCGAUGUUUACAAGCUCUAAUCUCUUUACCUCAACAGAAGAAUACCUGCAGAUGUUCAGGGUUUAAAUAACCCAACAUCAGACCCGUCUCAACCCACUAAUUCAUUAUAAUGAUUUCUGCUCCGCCUAAAAACGCAGCUAAAUAAUUGUAUUCGUAUUGACCAUUGCAGCGGCUUCAUUCUGUGACUCGGAGGUCUUCACAGAAUAACUGGAUGGAACCGGACUGAGGAGCCUUCAGCGACUCUCUUGAGCUUCUAGUUUUCUUUUUAAAACCAAAGAUUUCAAGCUUGUGUGAGGUGACGGUUUGAGGUGUUGGAAUCUGAUCCAUUUUUGCAUGAAUCUCUGCCAUUAACUUAUAAAAUGCUCCCCUACCUGCUCUCGCACUGAUAAUCGUUAAGUAGUAUAAUCUCUAAUCAGUAUAUUGAUCGUAUUAUUGCACCCGAUCCAUUUGAAUUCAAAGCUGAGACCAGACGUCUGCAGCAGUAUUGACUUAUGUCUCUAAUUUGUUACAUUUUAGUUCAGUGACGUCGUUCCUCCACAGAUUAAAUAUUUAUAGAGGCGGGAAAAUGGUUCUUUUUGAUUAAUCAAUUCAUUGUUCUAUAAAAUGUACCGCCGUAGUUUCACAGUUUGACUCUUUUCAGAUAUUUAGUUCCCCCCCAAAAAAGAAGCCAAAUUUCUCAUUUCCGAAGAGAUGUUUUACUUGAUAGAUCACAUUAUUAUUAUUAUUGUGGUCAUUGUUAAUAAUCAAAUUAUUUUGUAUACACAGGAAACUCAUGUUCAUAACAUACUAAAGAGCUUAUUCAGGUCUGAUCUAAAACUCAACUGUUCGUAUGAACGUUUGAGUUGAACUAAGAACUGGCAGCCAUAAGAAAUAAAUAUUCCUCUUAAUAGGCAUUCAAAUUGAAACGCGUCGGAAAGAAAGACGUUCUGCAACAUGUACCCAGCGGUAUUUUGAUGAAUUGAAUAUUCAUGUUCUACAUCACAUUGUUUUUUCUGGGCUUGAUUUUCUUGCAGUGUUACCAUUUUAAACUCGACCUUCCCUAUUAUCACAGCCGCAUUGAAAGUUGUCUAAAUGCUUUUAUUGUGAAGCUGCAUCGGUAGGAAAUAUUUUAUUUUGUCAAUACGUUCCCUCCUCCAGCAACAGAUACAGCUGUUUUAUUAACAUUUAAUUGUCUGAGAUUGUGGCCUGAAACUUAAACAUUUUAUUUUCACGGGACCUCAGAGUCACUUUGCGUCAUCCAACAACUCGUCGCUGACUUAAUGUUUUUGGGAUUAUUCAAGCAGAGUCAGAGUUAAAUAGUCUGUCCAAGUGUCUGCAUGCUGCACUAAUCGAUAGUCUGCACACAGGAAGCGUGUGCACGAGGACCGCCAUCCACUGGUGCGGGUUUGGUGUCUUCUGUCAGCUAGUAUUCAAUAAUCAGAAGGGAACGCCUCGUUUCUAAAUGGACUUUUAUAGCAGCAGGUUGGAAACGACGGGAUGAAUGUUUGGGAUUAUUUCAGUCAGAAAAAGGUUUUAUUUUUCUAAUGCUUUUGUUUUGGUGGGUAACUCAUUCUGCAGCAUUUCCUCACAAAUAAUAUGACCCAUUGAAUAUUAAAUCAACAUUUAAUGAUCACA